AACCUAUCUCAGUUGGUGAUAUAGUCGUCAUCGUAGAUUCCAAGCUACCGAGGAACUGUUGGCCGAAAGGAAGAGUUUUGUCCACAUUACUCGCAAAAGAUGGCCAAGUGCGUCAAGCAACAGUACAGACAGCAGGGGGAAUAUUCCAAAGAUCAGCAGUAAACCUAGCUGUACUCGAUGUAGGUGCAAAUAUAACUGAGCCGGACCAGGAUCCGACUACGAAGGGGGAGGAUGUUGCGUACGCUCAGCCUACGCCACAGCACCUACAUACUACAACUAACGAAGUGGCUACCUGAUCACCAAACAACUUGCGCCGAGAUGACAAGCUGUCAGUGCUAGCUGUUAAGCAAUACCUGUCAUAAAAAGAGAACAAUGAGUUGCAACUAAAUAAUGUAUUUGAUAGAAUCAAAACGUGACAUCCAAAAAUUGAUCGAGUUAAUUUUCCUGAAAUUAUAAAUUUAUUUGAUAUUUUGCUAACGUUAAACUUUGAACUAAAAGAUUCCUUAUCAAACCUAUAUUUACGUAACGUAACCUAUGCAGUUGUGCCAUCCAUAGAAUUUACUUAUUAUCGAGGUACAGCGUUGAACUUAAAUCCUAUGAACGAAUUCGGGUCAAGGAUAAGUGAAUCGAAUUGAGCCCACGAAACG